rnacentral:rRNA from 1 species
CCUACGGGUGGCAGCAGUGAGGAAUAUUGGUCAAUGGACGAGAGUCUGAACCAGCCAAGUAGCGUGAAGGAUGACUGCCCUAUGGGUUGUAAACUUCUUUUAUAUGGGAAUAAAAUGUUCCACGUGUGGGAUUUUGUAUGUACCAUAUGAAUAAGGAUCGGCUAACUCCGUUCCAGCAGCCGCGGUAAUACGGAGGAUCCGUGCGUUAUCCGGAUUUAUUGGGUUUAAAGGGAGCGUAGGUGGAUUGUUAAGGCAGUUGUGAAAGUUUGCGGCUCAACCGUAAAAUUGCAGUUGAAACUGGCAGUCUUGAGUACAGUAGAGGUGGGCGGAAUUCGUGGUGUAGCGGUGAAAUGCUUAGAUAUCACGAAGAACUCCGAUUGCGAAGGCAGUUCACUGGACUGCAACUGACACUGAGGCUCGAAAGUGUGGGUAUCAAACAGGAUUAGAUACCCGUGUAGUC